rnacentral:lncRNA from 1 species
GUGUUCGGUAAACAGGAAGUUGUUGAGUGAUGAAUCUGAAAACGCAUCACACGGUAUAGCUGACUUAUAUAAAUCCUGAAACCAAAUUUCAGAAAUCUUUGUAUUGUAGUUGCUGAGAAAAAUGUGACGAAAAUUUUCAACUUGGCUAUCAUGUGUAAAAUCAUACAAGUGUUCGGUAAACAGGAAGUUGUCAAGUGAUGAAUCUGAAAACGCAUCACACGGUAUGGCUAACAUAUAUAAAUGUUGAUACCAAAUUACAGAAAGGGUGGAUGUGUAGUUCCUGAGAAAAAUGUGAUGAAAAUUUUCAACUUGGCUAUCAUGUGUAAAAUCAUACAAGUGUUCGGUAAACAGGAAGUUGUCAAGUGAUGAAUCUGAAAACGCAUCACACGGUAUGGCUAACAUAUAUAAAUGUUGAUACCAAAUUAAAGAAAGGGUGGAUGUGUAGUUCCUGAGAAAAAUGUGACGAAAGUUUCAUGGGACGGACUGACUGACGGACUGAUGGACGGACGGACUGACGGACUGACAGACAGAGGUAAAACAGUAU